CAGCCGCCGCGGGAAUACGUAGGGUGCAAGCGUUAAUCGGAAUUACUGGGCGUAAAGCGUGCGCAGGCGGUUCGCUAAGACAGAUGUGAAGUCCCCGGGCUUAACCUGGGAACUGCAUUUGUGACUGGCGGGCUAGAGUAUGGCAGAGGGGGGUAGAAUUCCACGUGUAGCAGUGAAAUGCGUAGAGAUGUGGGGGAAUACCGAUGGCGAAGGCAGCCCCCUGGGCCUAUACUGACGCUCAUGCACGAAAGCGUGGGGAGCAAACAGGAUUAGAUACCCGCGUAGUCCCUGUCUCUUAUAC
rnacentral:rRNA from 1 species